UUCUAUUAUCCUACCCACUCUCUCCUCACCCCUCCAUCAAUAUUCUCUCUUUCUCACGAUCAAGAGACACAAAUGAUCAAGGCCAUACAACCAAGAUCAAAUCUACACAAUUUCGAUCAAGGCCACGCAAUCACCAUCAAGGCCACACAACAUCUUCAUCCUACUUUCUCUCUCUCUUCCAUCAUUUUGGUAAUUCGGGUUGUGGGUUUUCGAUUUUGGGUGGUUUGGGUUGUAAGUUUUCGGUUUUCGGUUUUCGGUGGUUGUGGGUUGUUGGUUUUUGAAUUUUGAUUGUGGGUUUUCGAUUUGGGUGGUUGUGGUUUGUGAGUUUUUGGUUUUGGGUGGUUGUGGUUUGUGGGUUUUGGGUGGUUAUGGGUUGUUGGUUUUCGAAUUUUGAUUGUGAGUUUUCGAUUUGGGUGAUUGUGGUUUGUGGGUUUUCGGUUUUGGGUAGUUGUGGUUUGUGGGUUUUCGGUUUUCGGUGGUUGUGGGUUGUUGGUUUUCGAAUUUUGAUUGUGGGAAAGCCUCGGCUUAGUAAAUUCUACGAUUUCCAGGAUUCUCGACUCGUUUACAAGCAUUAUGCAACCCUAACCCUUUACUUCGUAUUUGUGUAUGACAAUGCUGAAAAUGCCCUUAGCAGAGGAAAAACCUCUAUUCCACUUGCUGUAUUUUUAUCUUUGCUACAAGGCUAUAACAUCUGAAUUCUUUUGAUCAAUGUGUCUCUUACUCUUUACUUACUUCAUCAAGGCUUUGUCCUUACAUGAGCUUGCAGCUUUUCUAGAAACUUUGGACAAAUGCUUCAAGAAUGUCUGUGAGCUUGACAUAGUGUACAAUUAUGGUAAGGUAAAACUCAUUUAUGUAAUAUUACUAAUACAGAAACUUUGCCAGCAACCAGCUUUUGUAUAGUCA